UACGUAGGGUGCAAGCGUUGUCCGGAAUUAUUGGGCGUAAAGAGCUCGUAGGCGGUUUGUUGCGUCGGCUGUGAAAUCCCGAGGCUCAACCUCGGGUCUGCAGUCGAUACGAGCAAACUAGAGUGUUGCAGGGGAGACUGGAAUUCCAGGUGUAGCGGUGAAAUGCGUAGAUAUCUGGAGGAACACCGGUGGCGAAGGCGGCAUCCUGGACCAACACUGACACUGAGGAGCGAAAGCCAGGGGAGCAAACGGG
rnacentral:rRNA from 1 species